AGAAGUGUUCAGAGACUAGACCAUCUCUAUCGGAGCCCAUGGGCUGUGACAAGUGGAGUUAGGCUGAAGGGUGGGGGCCCCAGUAGCCAGAGCUUCCCUCAGGAGAGCUCCCUCCCCAGGGCACAGAAGCGGGAGGUUCCCUAUUCCUUGAGCAGCGACUUCCGUUCUCCCUGCCAGGAGGCUUCGACUUGAAGAUCCAGCUACAUACACCCCCUUCCCCACUGACCAUCACCCACCAAUGGUUCCAGGAUAAGUGAGUUACCAAACCAGUCUAUACGGCUUAAGUGAAGAGCUGACACCAGAGCCAACCUGCAAGAAACACGCUGCUUAGGCAAAACUUGAGCGCAGCUUGCACUAAGGGGAGGGCGCUACGCAUAAGAGGAGCCUCUCGGCCACCCCACUUGGAGCUCAGAGCAGGUGACUUAGGCAGGGAAGGGAGUGCAGGGCUGUCAGUAGUUACUAGACCAGCAGUAAGCCAAGCUCCCUAUGGUUACCACUGGAGCCUCAUGGCUUGGAGUUAACCUUUAGUUUACCCCAUUUUAAUAAGUCAAGUGCUCAGACAGCUUAAGCAACUAACUCAAAACAUGAGAAAUAAAUGACCGAGGCCAGACUUAAGCCAUGCCUGGCCCUGCAGCCUUUAGGCUCUGGGGCCCACCACACUUCUCUGCCAUUGAGGACCUAAUUAGGGAGAGUCAAGCUUUGUCACAAGCAGCUUCCCUGUAGGGAGUUCUACAGUCUAGAUUCUGCUAGUUCCUGAUCCUUGUCUCCACUCAGACAGGAGGCGUUCUCACGGUGUAAAGUAGGAUACAAGAAGCCCAGACAAGCAGUUGGAUUUUCCAGCCCUGAGUGGGCCCUCAUCACUUAGCAUACUCCUACCUGGAUACCAACUGAGUAGCCUAGGAGACCCCCCCUUCAGGACUAAUGCCCAGUCAUGUCAACUUCAGACUCAUGACUUGGUGCAAAGCCCAAUGCCACCUAAAUGAAGUUGGUUGAGUGGCAGCCCAACUACGCGUAGCUCCUGAGACCUUUCAGGCUCAGACACAUGCUGGACUUGGACUAAGUCACUGCCAUAUGGCCACUCUCUCAUUACCCUUAUAUCUACCCCCAGUGACUUGCUGCUAAACUUAGUGAUGUGAAUGUGAAUGAGUUCCUAGAUAUCUUCACAGCCCUUUAAUCAUGGGAUAAGCUACAGCUGUGGCUCUACAACUCGGCCAAGAGUUCAGUGGCUGCAGCAAAUGGCACCUGUAGACUAUAAACUGGCAAACAGAUCCUUUAACCUACAAGAUUCAAGAUUCUAUUCAUCUCUGGUUUUACUUUCAUUAGGCAGCUAACACAGUUAAGGGAACCCUUCCAGGAUGGCCUACCUCUGAUCUUGUGAAAUCCAUCGUGAACCAUGCUUUAGACCUUGAGCAAUUAACAAGCAGCUUUCAUCCGUGCCUUAAGGUAUGUCAUUUGAAGCACUUGCUCAACAGGUGCAUACAAUCCCAGCUGCAGGGUCUGCCUGAGCGAGACAAAGUUCAACAGUGAGGUACCAAGCUAGAUUUAGAGAGCCUGCCAGGCUACAGGGAGGUUACGGAGGCACUUAAGCUCAAGUGAUGCUUACGGCUGAACAGAAGUUCCACGCUGAGGAGCAUAGGUAUUAAGUAA
ensembl:lncRNA